GACGAACGCUGGCGGCGUGCUUAACACAUGCAAGUCGAACGGAAAGGCCCCCACUUUUUUGGUGGGGGUGCUCGAGUGGCGAACGGGUGAGUAACACGUGGGUGAUCUGCCCUGUACUUCGGGAUAAGCUUGGGAAACUGGGUCUAAUACCGGAUAGGACCAUGGUUUAGUGUCUCAUGGUGGAAAAAUUAUUGUUUUGGUGCAGGAUGAGCUCGCGGCCUAUCAGCUUGUUGGUGGGGUAAUGGCCUACCAAGGCGUCGACGGGUAGCCGGCCUGAGAGGGUGGACGGCGACAUUGGGACUGGGAUACGGCCCAGACUCCUACGGGAGGCAGCAGUGGGGAAUAUUGCACAAUGGGCGCAAGCCUGAUGCAGCGACGCCGCGUGGGGGAUGACGGCCUUCGGGUUGUAAACUCCUUUCGUUAGGGACGAAGCCGCACCUUUUUUGGGUGUGGUGACGGUACCUUUGUUAAGAAGCACCGGCUAACUACGUG
rnacentral:rRNA from 1 species